UACGUAGGGUGCGAGCGUUAAUCGGAAUUACUGGGCGUAAAGCGUGCGCAGGCGGCUUUGUAAGCCAGAUGUGAAAUCCCCGGGCUUAACCUGGGAAUGGCAUUUGGGACUGCAAGGCUGGAGUUUGGCAGAGGAGACUGGAAUUCCUGGUGUAGCAGUGAAAUGCGUAGAUAUCAGGAGGAAUGCCGAUGGCGAAGGCAGGUCUCUGGACUAUAACUGACGCUCAGGCACGAAAGCGUGGGGAGCAAACAGG
rnacentral:rRNA from 1 species